rnacentral:rRNA from 1 species
AUGACAGGCAAUGUCCAUCAUGAAGCUAAAGCUCUUGAUAUCAUUGAGCUCACAGGCCUGCACACUCCUGGUGAAUACUAUGAACCAGGUUGUCAACAACAACAAAAUGCCUUGGAAAGCAUCUUUCAGAAGCCAGAACCCAACAUGAGUCAAAUGCUGAGCAUGAUGAAGCCUCUGCCUCACGACGCUGAAUACCCAUCUGAGUUCUUUGUUGAAGACCUAGAGUACCUGCCUCACACCAUUUACCACAUCAUCAGGAAGACUCUAUGGCCUGUCAAAGGACACUCAUCUGCAGCGAAGCUUGAAGGAGCAAUGAAGACUUUGGUUUUCUAUAUCUUCAAUGGCAUCAGCUUCAAUGCUCAAGACUUCUUCAUCAGGCAGUUGGCUGCGUCUGGCUCCGACAUCUUUGGGUUGAAAUUCUAUGCUCCAUAG